UGAAGCCCAAGAGGACGGCGAGCCGCAGCGGGAAGCUCUCAGAGCCGACUCUGCACCGUCCUCAGAUACCGAGUCCGAAGCCGAGUACACUGUGCCGGUGCGGGACGACGUGUCCGAGCCGGAGGAGGCCGGGGCAGAGCAGCCUUGCGCCACCGUAGCGCCGCCGCCGGCCGCCGCCCCGAAGCGCGCCGGUGAGGCCGCCGCUGACAGCCCGCUGGCCAAGAGGGCCCGCCCGCACAGCGAUGACGAGCGUCCGACGGAGCUGCGACGGGAAAGUGCGUGUACAACCAUGCAAGAAGUACAAAAGGUGUCCUGGGAAAGUUUAUGCGGUCUUGCGCAUGCGUCAGAAGGGGGAAGCGUGAUGUGUCCAGUAUGCUGCGCUGGUUGUCGGAGGGAGGCGCUGCUGUCCCACAUGCAGUCGGCCCACGCCAUUGGACCGAGCUGCCUACCAUCACCACCGGCGGAGCGGUGCCCGAGGCAUAAGGCUGGCGCGGAGGCAACCAUCGGCGGCACGUCCGAGCCGGCGCCAGGCGCGGAGGCAGCCAUUGGCGGCACGUCCGAGCCGGCGCCAGGCGCCAUACCCGCCGGGGAGCAUGCACCGGUCACAUCUGCCGAGGCGGAGCUGGCCAGCGGUCCGCAGCUGGCGGCGGCCG